AGUCUGAUAGCCACACUCAGCCACCAUGGGAACUGCUCCUUUCCUCUAGAUAAACUAUAUGAAGAAACUGAGACAAAGAGGUUAAUGAUCUCUCCAAGAGCACACGGUGGCAGGACUCGAACUCCGGCAGCCUGGUUCCAGAGACCACUCUACAUCUGUUUUUGAUGUUAGCUUCUGAGCUGUCUUCCAUUGGCCACUCUUUUGCUAUCUUUAUAUGUAUAUUAGAGGAUAUGUAAUAGACAUUAUACAAUUACAAGUUAUUCAUCAAUGCAUCAUUGUAAGAAUUUAGUUACUAUAAAAAUAUAUAGAAUGAAAAAUGAAAGUCUUCUAUUAUCUCUCUACCCCAAUUCUAAUUCCAUCCCUACAGGAAACAGUUUGUUGCGUGUUCUUCCAGAUUUCGAUCCAUGCAUUUACUUAUAAAGAUAGACAUGAAUAUUUACUAGUUUUAAAAAAGUAUUUGCAAAAAUGAGACUAUACUAUAUGUUUUCCCACAAGUUAGCAUUUUUCACUUAAUAAUGUACUUGGGAAUUAGGGAGACUGAGCUUUUUAUUUCAGAAAAUACAGAUCUGCAUCAUUCUAGUUAAUAACAACAUAACAUUCCAUAAGGUGGAAAUAUGAUAUUGACUGACUUUCAGGUUGUUUCCUAUUUUUAUUAUUAUAGAACAUGAUACAAUUAGUAUUCCUGUAUGAAUAUCUUUGUAAACAUGUAAACAAGUCUUCCUAUAAAACAAAUUUCUAUAGGUUGAAUUGUCAGGUCAAAGGAUAUGGUCACUUGAAAUGUUAAGUACUGACAAAUUUUUUUUCCAAAAAGACUGCAUUAUUCAAAUUCCAUCAAUAAUGUAUCAGAAAUUUCAUUUUUUUAUUGCUUUCCAUCACUUGAUGUUAUCGGAAAUAAAUUUUGCCCAUCAAAUGGGAAA